CAACUGAAUAUUCUGAAUUCCUUUGUGACCCUUCUUACCUUCCCAGUUGUCCUGGACCCACAGGCAGUGCAGGACGCAGAGAAGCUGCAUGGACCAUGUUCAAGAGCGAGUAGGAGCCCCCAAGUCCACGUUGUGACCUUCCAAGGCACCAGCAUCCGUGGACCUGCAGUGGUGGCGAGGGGGCUGGAGACCACAGGUGGCUGGCCUCAGCAUCCAGGGGCCCAGAACAGAUUGUACCACUCAGGAAACCCACAGGUUGCAGGAGAAAAUGGCUGGUAGAAAUGCACCAGGAAGAAUAACGUGGUUUUGAAAUGAGGCCCUCCUGGCUGCUGUUUCCUGCCUGUGAAACCAUUCAAAAGUGGGCAUCUCCUCGCCGUUCUUGGUGCCAGCGGUAGACCUGGCAGCUGUACUAAUGGCCAAGGCAGAACUGGGAACUCAGCAGACCUCCUAGAGCUAGAAGGGCUCAGAUGAAAAUCCGGGGAAACCAACUUCUUAAAAUAGAUGCCAGUAGGCUGCCUGCCCCACCAACUCAUUGGACAUUUCCAGACAUGCCUGAUUCCCAGCUGAGAAGACAAAUCAGGCUCCAACUUGAAUCCCC